rnacentral:rRNA from 1 species
AGCCUGAUGCAGCGACGCCGCGUGAGGGAUGAAGGCCUUCGGGUUGUAAACCUCCUUUAGUAGGGAAGAAGCGAAAGUGACGGUACCUGCAGAAGAAGCGCCGGCUAACUACGUGCCAGCAGCCGCGGUAAUACGUAGGGCGCAAGCGUUAUCCGGAAUUAUUGGGCGUAAAGAGCUCGUAGGCGGUUUGUCGCGUCUGCCGUGAAAGUCCGGGGCUUAACUCCGGAUCUGCGGUGGGUACGGGCAGACUUGAGUGAUGUAGGGGAGACUGGAAUUCCUGGUGUAGCGGUGAAAUGCGCAGAUAUCAGGAGGAACACCGAUGGCGAAGGCAGGUCUCUGGGCAUUAACUGACGCUGAGGAGCGAAAGCAUGGGGAGCGAACAGGAUUAGAUACCCUGGUAGUCCAUGCCGUAAACGUUGGGCACUAGGUGUGGGGGACAUUCCACGUUUUCCGCGCCGUAGCUAACGCAUUAAGUGCCCCGCCUGGGGAGUACGGCCGCAAGGCUAAAACUCAAA